rnacentral:lncRNA from 1 species
UGGACAAAUUAGUAAUAUGAUCGAGUCGAGAAUCCAAAGUGUGGGGUGCUUCCCCGAUCCCCACUUCGAAGUAUCUUCGAAGGAAAACUUUUUCCUCAAUCUCCAUCCCCGUGAGGGAAAAAAAUCUCCAAACUCAGAGUCUCAAACGGAUAAUAUCCACGAAAAUACCCGUAUGCAAAUUCCCUAUAUGUUAUACCCUAUAGACAAUGAUUUUAAAUUCUGAUUUGCUUAUGUGGUGUUAGCU